GCAUAGUAUCUGUGGAUUAAAGGUGGCUUUUGGGCUGUCGCAGAUGGAUGAGCCUGCGUUGGAUUAGCUAGUUGGUGGGGUAAGGGCCUACCAAGGCUACGAUCCAUAGCUGAUUUGAGAGGAUGAUCAGCCACAUUGGGACUGAGACACGGCCCAAACUCCUACGGGAGGCAGCAGUGAGGAAUAUUGGACAAUGGGGGCAACCCUGAUCCAGCAAUGCCAUGUGUGUGAAGAAGGCCUUAGGGUUGUAAAGCACUUUAGUUGGGGAAGAAAGCUUUGAGGUUAAUAGCCUUGAGGAAAAGGACGUUACCCAAAGAAUAAGCACCGGCUAACUCCGUGCCAGCAGCCGCGGUAAUACGGGGGGUGCAAGCGUUAAUCGGAAUUACUGGGCGUAAAGGGUCUGUAGGUGGUUUGUUAAGUCAGAUGUGAAAGCCUAGGGCUCAACCUUGGAACUGCAUUUGAUACUGGUAAACUAGAGUACGGUAGAGGAAUGGGGAAUUUCUGGUGUAGCGGUGAAAUGCGUAGAGAUCAGAAGGAACACCAAUGGCGAAGGCAACAUUCUGGACCGAUACUGACACUGAGGGACGAAAGCGUGGGGAUCAAACAGGAUUAGAUACCCUGGUAGUCCACGCUGUAAACGAUGAGUACUAGCUGUUGGAGUCGGUGUAAAGGCUCUAGUGGCGCAGCUAACGCGAUAAGUACUCCGCCUGGGGACUACGGCCGCAAGGCUAAAACUCAAAGGAAUUGACGGGGACCCGCACAAGCGGUGGAGCAUGUAGUUUAAUUCGAUGCAACGCGAAGAACCUUACCUGGUCUUGACAUCCUGCGAUCUUUCUAGAGAUAGAUUGGUGCCUUCGGGAACGCAGUGACAGGUGCUGCACGGCUGUCGUCAGCUCGUGUUGUGAAAUG
rnacentral:rRNA from 1 species